ncrna:unclassified sequences RAGATH-18 RNA
ACUGUGAAGUAUACAAGAACUUGUGAGUAGAUUGAUAUUUAUAUCAUCCAAAGCAUAUACGUUGAAGCAGUAA